rnacentral:rRNA from 1 species
UACGUAGGGUGCAAGCGUUAAUCGGAAUUACUGGGCGUAAAGCGUGCGCAGGCGGCUUUGCAAGACAGAUGUGAAAUCCCCGGGCUCAACCUGGGGGCUGCACUUGAUACGUAUGGACUGGAGUGGGGAAGAGGGUCGUGGAAUUCCCGGUGUAGCGGUGAAAUGCGUAGAGAUCGGAAAGAACACCAACGGCGAAAGCACUCUGCUGGGCCGACACUGACACUGAGAGACGAAAAGCUAGGGGGAGCGAAUGGG